UUCCCCUGCACGCGGACAGAGUCUCCCCUGUACGUUCAAGGCGUCACAAUCAAUACAAGUACAAGAGGUUCCAAAUAGGAACAAUUUUCAACAACGAUUGCAUAAGGAAGGUAUCAAACAACAUAACACAUCCUAUGUUAUUACAAUCAUUCAUCUCAUCAUUUUACAUCGCAUUUUUCAUUACAUGGAUCCUCAACUUCCAAAUAUACAAUCGAUUUCUAAACAUAAUAUUACAACAUCGAUUCUUUUUUUUUCUUUUCUUUUCUUAUACCCCUAAGAAGCUGACUCAGGGUGCUACUAUCUGGUCUCUGUGGUAGGGCGCUAACUACGAAGCUACGCCCUUUCCUCGCGCCGCCGCGCCGCUCGCGUGUGAACCUGUACCCCCAAAAACAACAACACGGGGGUGAGACUAUUGUCCAUAGUCCUCAGUGGGUACAGCCACCCAAGGGAAGAGCUCAACCCACCAGGUCCAAAAGAGGCACUGCAACAUGUUAGUCCAACAGAUAUAUAUACAUAUAACAUCAUGCAAUACAUGUUCAUGCCUCACAAAUAUGCAAAUUAUGCAACUCUUAGUCAUUCUUUACCAUUAGCCUUUCUUUAGAAUAUGCAAUUCUUUAUCAUUAGCCAUUCUUUAUUCUUUAAUCUUUAUUCUUUAUUCUUUAUUCUUUAUGCUUUAUUCUUUAUACUUUAUUCUUUGUUCUUUAUCCUUUAGUAAGGGCACUCGCUCCUUAGGCUCAUCAUACACAUUUGCCAUUCUUUAUAACAUUAACAAGGCUUUCUCAAUUAUCACUCUUUCUUAAGGUUACAUUUACCUUAGCCAACUAUGCCACUCGACUCAGUCUUGAGUCAAUUUAUAAUGUAUACAAGAUCCACUUUCCAAUUCAUGAUUCUUUUUGGCUAACCCGUAGGUUUCGGCACAUUAACUUGCUUCACAUUAAGUCCAUCAUCGCAGGAACUCACCUGCUAGGACCGUCCUUGGGUUUCUCCAACCCGUGAUGCAAAACUCUGGAGCGCAUCGCUCGACGGGGAGCGACCGCCCUCGAGCACGGAACUCAUAGCAAGUAUGAUCAAUCCUUAACUGUAAGGAUAUGUAGUUGAAUCAUGGCUUUACACUAACUUUAGUGUUCUUUACAUCACAUUAGUUGCUAACUUUAGCCAUUAUUAUUGUUCUUUACACUUUGCUUAUUCUUUAUACCACAUUACUUUACAUCACCUCUAGCCAUUAUCAUUAUUCUUUACACUUUGCUUAUUCUUUAUGCCACAUUACUUUACAUGGCCUCUAGCCAUUAUCAUUGUUUUUUACACCACAUUUAUUCUUUGAUGUCCCACACUAACUCUAGUGUCCACUUUACCAUUUCCAAAUGCCACUCGAUCUAUGUUCAUUAUGCGGAUAUUUUGUCAUCCAUUGGUAGUCAUCACUUAGCAUUUUAUGCAUUCAUUAACAUUUACCACAUGCAUUCUCGGUUAGUAUAAAUCUCAUACUUACGUUUUGACAUCUGUUUAGCAUUUCUAUAAUAUACUCAUGUAAAUUAACAUCAACUCAUGCAUUUACUUGACAUCUAUCUUUAUCAUGCAUUCUUAAAUAGCAUACUUUAUCAUGCAUCAAUAGUAAAUAUACUACACUUUAGCAUGGAAAGCGACCUAAUCGCUUCGUUGAGCACAACCCACCUCAAAACGCUUUCCGUUUGCUUGUCGACACUUGCAAUCGGCCUCCCGCG
rnacentral:lncRNA from 1 species